UGAGCUGCCUCACCCGCUCCAGUUCUCUUUCAGCGGCUUCCUUCUCUCUCACAAUGGUUUCAAGUUCCCUGCGGUACUGCUUGGCUUCACUUUCAGCCCUUAUCUUCUGCAGAGAGAUAUCUUCUACAUUUCUCUGCUGCUUUCUCAAUUCAUUUUCUGCAGCCUCCCUGACCUUCGGAAGUUCUUCCUCUACUCGGGACUUUUGUUUCUUUAGUUCAGCUACCAUUCUUUCCAACUCACUUAUCUUUAUGUUUCGAACUUCAGAGAUGUAGAGAUUAUAAACUGAUUCCUCUUGCUCCUCUGUGAUACCUCAAUUUGUCUGUAGUCACAGAUAGCUUUGAUCGGAAUAGAAGUUUUGAGUGGACAGUCAGAAUUCCUUGGCUUCAGUACCAUUGAUUCCUGAACAAGGUCUUCUAGCUUGUGAAUGCUGCUUGAUCUAUCACAGCUGUACUUCCGCUGAAUGGCAUCUUUUAGAUUCCUUAAGUAAUCAGUAGCUUCUUUGGCAUCAUUGAAAAACUAAG
rnacentral:lncRNA from 1 species